rnacentral:lncRNA from 1 species
GAGCCCCCAUCAUCUGGCUCCAUGUGGAUGAAGACCUGCAUUUAUUGCCUUUACAGUCAUGUGCUCCCUGGACAGUGAGAUGAGUGCUCCACCAAGAGACAGAGUCAGCGCAGGCAGGUAAGCACAGGGACCUCCCUGGACCAGUGCUAGGGCCGUAGAAGGACCACAGAGGGAGGACAUGUUGCACAUUGGGCACUGAGCUGGAUGUUGGCAGUGCAUGGUCUCAUUUCACCUCACUCCAUUCUCCAUCUGCCCCAAAGCCCAGCUCCCGACUAUAUGACUUGGCUGCUGGGCAGUGCUUGUCAUGGGGAGAGGGGGAGGCAUUUCUGGGGGCCUGACAUGGUGGGCAUCUCCCUACUCAGGUGCAACUUGGCCCUUGAACGGUGGAUUCCCGAUGGCAGGAUCUUGGACUUUUCUACUUUCUCUGGAGAGCAAGACAGGGAGAGCCAGCUUAACCAUGGCCUGGAGAGGUGAUCUGCCAGGAAGAAAGGGGGAGAGGCUGCCUAAGGAUGAAGAGGGGCACACGCAUAUUCCCAAGAACAAACGUGAGAACUGUACAGCACCUGAACCGAGCACUCAGUGUCUGAAGCCAGAGGGGAAGAGUUUUGUACCUCCGAAGUGGGUGUUCCUGGUUCGCCCUGAGGCUCCUGAGUGA